UCGUCGUCGCCGCUUCUCGUCGUCGCUGAUCUCUUUGUCGCUGUCCUCAAACAGUGCGCAAUCCUCGGUGCCAUCAAGCGCAUUUGAUAUGCCGCACUUCUUGAAAGAGCGCACGAUCAAAGUUCCUGGGAUGUCGUCCUACGCUGCAGCCACCCAGCCUGCCAACUGAG
rnacentral:lncRNA from 1 species